GACGAACGCUGGCGGCGUGCUUAACACAUGCAAGUCGAACGGAAAGGCCCUGCUUUUGUGGGGUGCUCGAGUGGCGAACGGGUGAGUAACACGUGAGUAACCUGCCCUUGACUUUGGGAUAACUUCAGGAAACUGGGGCUAAUACCGGAUAGGAGCUCCUGCUGCAUGGUGGGGGUUGGAAAGUUUCGGCGGUUGGGGAUGGACUCGCGGCUUAUCAGCUUGUUGGUGGGGUAGUGGCUUACCAAGGCUUUGGCGGGUAGCCGGCCUGAGAGGGUGACCGGCGACAUUGGGACUGAGAGACGGCCCAGACUCCUACGGGAGGCAGCAGUGGGGAAUAUUGCACAAUGGGCGGAAGCCUGAUGAAGCAACGCCGCGUGCGGGAUGACGGCCUUCGGGUUGUAAACCGCUUUCGCCUGUGACGAAGCGUGAGUGACGGUAAUGGGUAAAGAAGCACCGGCUAACUACGUG
rnacentral:rRNA from 1 species